rnacentral:rRNA from 1 species
GAUGAACGCUAGCGGCAGGCCUAAUACAUGCAAGUCGAGGGGUAGAGUUAGCUUGCUAACUUGAGACCGGCGCACGGGUGCGUAACGCGUAUGCAACCUACCUUUAUCUGGGGGAUAGCCCGAAGAAAUUCGGAUUAACACCGCAUAAAAUCACAGUAUCGCAUGAUACAAUGAUCAAAUAUUUAUAGGAUAAAGAUGGGCAUGCGUGUCAUUAGUUAGUUGGCGGGUAACGGCCCACCAAGACCACGAUGACUAGGGGAUCUGAGAGGAUGACCCCCACACUGGUACUGAGACACGGACCAGACUCCUACGGGAGGCAGCAGUAAGGAAUAUUGGUCAAUGGAGGCAACUCUGAACCAGCCAUGCCGCGUGCAGGAAGAAGGCCCUCUGGGUUGUAAACUGCUUUUGACAGGGAACAAGAAGUCCAUGCGUGGAUUAGUGAGUGUACCUGUAGAAUAAGCCACGGCUAACUACGUGCCAGCAGCCGCGGUAAUCG